UUUGACGCUGGCGGCAUGCCUUACACAUGCAAGUACGAACGGUAACAGGUCUUCGGACGCUGACGAGUGGCGAACGGGUGAGUAAUACAUGCGGAACGUGCCCAGUCGUGGGGGAUAACUACUCGAAAGAGUAGCUAAUACCGCAUACGAUCUGAGGAUGAAAGCGGGGGACCUUCGGGCCUCGCGCGAUUGGAGCGGCCGAUGGCAGAUUAGGUAGUUGGUGGGAUAAAAGCUUACCAAGCCGACGAUCUGUAGCUGGUCUGAGAGGACGACCAGCCACACUGGGACUGAGACACGGCCCAGACUCCUACGGGAGGCAGCAGUGGGGAAUUUUGGACAAUGGGCGAAAGCCUGAUCCAGCAAUGCCGCGUGCAGGAUGAAGGCCUUCGGGUUGUAAACUGCUUUUGUACGGAACGAAAAAGCUUCUCCUAAUACGAGAGGCCCAUGACGGUACCGUAAGAAUAAGCACCGGCUAACUACGUGCCAGCAGCCGCGGUAAUAC
rnacentral:rRNA from 1 species